CGCGUAGGCGGGGGGCCAAGUCCGCUGUGAAAGCCUGAGGCUCAACCUCAGCGGGUCGGUGGAGACUGGCCUCCUUGAAGGUGCCAGGGGGGGAUGGAAUUAUCGGUGUAGCGGUGAAAUGCGUAGAGAUCGAUAGGAACACCAGUGGCGAAGGCGGUCCCCUGGGGCACACUUGACGCUGAGGCGCGAAAGCUGGGGGAGCGAACG
rnacentral:rRNA from 1 species